UUUGAUGUAGCUCAAACGGUAGAGCACAGGGUCUUUACCCCUGUAGUUACGGGUUCGAAUCCCGUCAUCCAAC
rnacentral:tRNA from 1 species